AUUAAGUCAAAUGUGAAAUCCCCGAGCGUAACUUGGGAAUUGCAUUCGAUACUGGUUGGCUAGAGUAUGGGAGAGGAUGGUAGAAUUCCAGGUGUAGCGGUGAAAUGCGUAGAGAUCUGGAGGAAUACCGAUGGCGAAGGCAGCCAUCUGGCCUAAUACUGACGCUGAGGUACGAAAGCAUGGGGAGCAAACAGGAUUAGAUACCCUGGUAGUCCAUGCCGUAAACGAUGUCUACUAGCCGUUGGGGCCCUUGAGGCUUUAGUGGCGCAGCUAACGCGAUAAGUAGACCGCCUGGGGAGUACGGUCGCAAGACUAAAACUCAAAUGAAUUGACGGGGGCCCGCACAAGCGGUGGAGCAUGUGGUUUAAUUCGAUGCAACGCGAAGAACCUUACCUGGCCUUGACAUACAGAGAACUUUCCAGAGAUGGAUUGGUGCCUUCGGGAACUCUGAUACAGGUGCUGCAUGGCUGUCGUCAGCUCGUGUCGUGAGAUGUUGGGUUAAGUCCCGCAACGAGCGCAACCCUUUUCCUUAUUUGCCAGCACUUCGGGUGGGAACUUUAAGGAUACUGCCAGUGACAAACUGGAGGAAGGCGGGGACGACGUCAAGUCAUCAUGGCCCUUACGGCCAGGGCUACACACGUGCUACAAUGGUCGGUACAAA
rnacentral:rRNA from 1 species